UGGGGAAUUUUGGACAAUGGGCGAAGCCUGAUCCAGCAAUGCCGCGUGUGUGAAGAAGGCCUUCGGGUUGUAAAGCACUUUUGUCCGGAAAGAAAUCCUUGGCUCUAAUACAGUCGGGGGAUGACGGUACCGGAAGAAUAAGCACCGGCUAACUACGUGCCAGCAGCCGCGGUAAUACGCAGGGUGCAAGCGUUAAUCGGAAUUACUGGGCGUAAAGCGUGCGCAGGCGGUUUGCUAAGACCGAUGUGAAAUCCCCGGGCUCAACUGGGAACUGCAUUGGUGACUGGCAGGCUAGAGUAUGGCAGAGGGGGGUAGAAUUCCACGUGUAGCAGUGAAAUGCGUAGAGAUGUGGAGGAAUACCGAUGGCGAAGGCAGCCCCCUGGGCAAUACUGACGCUCAUGCACGAAAGCGUGGGGAGCAAACAGGAUUAGAUACCCUGGUAGUCCACGCCCUAAAACGAUGUCAACUAGUUGUUGGGGAUUC
rnacentral:rRNA from 1 species